GGCCUUCCAAAAUACCCAGUAGGUUCUCAGUAAUAUUUACAGGCAAUAAUCUUCCUCAAAGGCAGACAGGUAUGUGCAACUAUUUUCUCAGCCAGAUUUAGUAACUGUCCUUUAGGUCUACUAACCUACUUUAUGUCUACAUAAAUAAUUCAUGAUAGAAUUUGAUUUUCCUUAAAAUAGCCACAGGUGAGAACCAUUUCUAUAGUUCUGUUGCUUUCAGGAUGCCAAGAACAUCUAGGAAUACCACUGUUCAUACACAUUUAGAAUGUUGUGGGUUCUCAUACAGCUCUAUUAUGG
rnacentral:lncRNA from 1 species